rnacentral:rRNA from 1 species
UACGUAGAAGACUAGUGUUAUUCAUCUUUAGUAGGUUUAAAGGGUACCUAGACGGUAUGAUUAGCCCACAACAGGGUACAAUCUUGCUAGAGUUUUAUAUGAGAAGGGGAGUAUUUAUAGAGUAGAGAUGAAAUUCUUUGAUACUAUGACGACUGGUAGCGGCGAAAGCAACCUUUUAUCUAAUAACUGACGUUGAGGGACGAAGGCCCGGGUAGCAAACAGG